rnacentral:tRNA from 1 species
GGUUCCAUAGUAUAGUGGUUAGCACAUCUGCUUUAUAUGCAGAAGGUCCUGGGUUUGCACCCCAGUGGAGCCA